CAUGGUGGUGUGACUUUGUACUUAGCUCAGUUGCAAGCAUCCUAGCCCUGCUGGAUCUAUAUCAAGACUGAGCAGCAAGUAGAUUAGGAUCCAUUGGUCAAAUGUAGGUGGGGGAGGAGGAGGCCAUUGAAUGUUGGCAGCAGUAGCAGUAACUAAAUAGCAGCCUCCCUAAAUUUUAGGAAGUGCUUGUUGGAAGUGAAGCAAACUUAGCAUAACAAGGAGUUUUUGGGUGGAGAGUGACCCAUAUAUCCUAUUUCUGCAUGCCAUAGCAAAUUCCUGCUUUCCAAAUUACAUCCUAAUGGAUGCUUUGAUUUUCUCCCCUCAAAUCUGUUUGGUGGAGGGUGGAAGAAAGGAUUAAUGCAAGUGGAAAUUCCUCUCUCUUCUGAACUAGAGGGGCCCUCAAAGUGUGCCCUGCCUAGGAUGGCAAAAAAUAUGGCAUUGAGAACAUGAUGGCCGACGUCACUGCUGGUGGACUGCAGGUGACAAGUUGGAGCAUGCACUUCCCAUGGCUGAAAUCCCCCCUUUUUAAAAACUGUAUUUGUUGCUUUCCACAUGGGCAGCAUAUUAAGAAUGACUGCCAUUCUUGUUGCUCUUUAGCAGCUGAAGUGAUAUUUACAAAUAAUAGUGCACAGUCUAACUUCUGUUACUUCUGUUACAGCUCGAGCGUGGCUAUGAAAACUAGGGGUCAAAUAGUUACCAUCAAGUACUUGUAAAAACUGCUUUGGGGAUAAUGGGGUGGUCCCUUCAUCCCCAUCCUUUCUCGUUGAAAGGUCUGAAACAGGUGUGCAACUGCCAGCUGAAUUGAGUUAUGCUUCUCCAUGAGACUGGAAGUCCGGAUUCAUGGGACUCUUGAUCUCAAAGGGGGUUGUAACUCUGUUCUCCUGAACGUGGUUGCACCAUCACUAGAAAUCUUCUCCAACAAUGUGCGUGCAUCCUGCUGCCCUCAGCUACCCCUUGAAGAUAACUCAUCCCAUUUGAAUGUCCAGUGCAGUGUUUCUUAACCUUGGCAACUUGGCUGGGGAAUUCUGGGAGUUGAAGUCCACACAUCUUCAAGUUGCCAAAGUUGAGAAAUGUUGGUCCAAUGAAUGUUUGCUCAGGGUUGCAGUCCUUACUCAGGGCACUGGAAAACGGGGACCAGUGUCAUCUCUCCCCACCUUUCCCAGCUAGAAGGGGGGGCAGCUGGUAGCAUCAACAUCAAGUUUUUCUGGGGGGGGGUUGGAGAAAGGAAGUUUGGGGCACUGUGUCUUGAUUGGGCUACCCCUCUUCUCAACGUGUAUCUGUUGUCCUGGAGGAUAGACCACUUCCUGUACUUGUCUUGCUUGCCCACGUGGCAAAGGAUUGUAACCAGGGCCAAGAAGCUUUGGAGGCUGGUGACAGGCCCCUCUGUGGUUACGGGCCACGAUAGCUACCUAACAAAUGCAACUCUGCUGUAUCAAGCAGUGCUGCAUUAACCUAUCAAGCGUGAGUAGUUCUGCUCCAGCUUCUUCAGGAAUAUUUUUGGCCCUGGUGGCAUGGGAGAUCAUUAAGGGGUCUCUUUUUUUUCUGGACCCAUCUCAUGUGCAAGGAGCAAUAUUAAGUAUUGUCCUCUUUCUCUUAGAGCCAGUUAACUAUCUUGAGAAGAAUACUCUAGUGCUCUCUCAAAGCAGCAGUAUUAACAGCUUGUUAUUUAUAUAUGUACAUAGGAACAAUCUUGGGCUGUUUAAUUUUGAAGUGCUGUUUUCAUCUUUUUUUUCCCCCUUUUCCCUCUUUAUAUGAAUAUAUCUCUGCUUGGGUGCUGGUGCCCCGAUGUACUGUGGAAGUCUGGAAGGUGGGGAAAUGCCUUUCUCUUUGCUGCUAGCCUUCUAACCCCCUCCCACCUUGGUCUCGGAGCUGGGCAAGACAGCUCAGCUGAAAAGACAAUAGGCAAGGCUGUGUGUCUUCAUCUGGGUUUGCUAUAGAUUUUAGCAUCCCAAGAGAGCCAUUUUUAAGCAAGGCUUUACAAUGAAACCCCUCUUCCCUUCCCUUCCUUCUCUCCAAUGCCCCUUUCUUUCCUUUUAUAUAUGGUCUUUUUCUCUCUCUCUUUUCGAGCCCUCUCUCUUGUACCUUCCUUCAUUUUUUCCCUGCCAAGUUCUCUUGCCAGAGACCGAUCCCCCAUAGUCAACUUGAAAUCGGUACAAAGGCAACAUGGAGCUUAUUCUUUGUUCCUGCCCCUUACCAAUUUCAGACAUUUUUGGAAAUGGCAAGAAUGUGAAUCUUAUUUAAAAAAUACCCUGCAAUGCUUGCAAUUGGUAAAUGGGGUAGGGCAAUGUCUGAAGGCUUAUUUUUAAUUUUUAAUUUAUUACUCAAGUUAAAUUCCACCUUCAUUUUGUACAACUCAAGGCUUAUCUCUAUUGCACGUUCAAGCCAGUUUAUCUCUAGUUGAGCGAUCAGGACCCUGAUCAGAAGACUUGGAUAACUAAUUCUGUAAAGGAACUUCCAGCAUUCUCAGCAAGUCUGCCAAUGAAUAGUUUGUUUUCAUCCUGGUUGCUUGGGGGAAACUUUAAUUUGUUAAGAAAAAGGUGGUGAUAACUGGGUCUUGAGUGAUCAGUUUCUCAACAGCACAGAAUUUUUUAGCAGCCGUGAUAGGACAGUUUUGUAGAAAGAAUGAUGUUGGCUCAUCAUCAAAGAACCAGAGUGGAAUGGUAUGUGGGAAAGGCCUUGGGAGACCAGGCAAAGAGAGGCUGCCCAGGGAACGGUCAGAUAAGAGACAGCAUAGCCCACAGCUGGAUAGUGGGUGGGACAAGAGGCUCAGAAGGGACCUUCCCUGUCGUCUUGAGCUGUAAAAGGAGAUUAUGGGAGAAUUGUACUUUCAGACUUGCAAGAUUCUGUUAAUGUAGCUUUAAAAUAAAGUAGAAUUAGCUUAUCUGGUUGUGUUUCCUGUCUGGUCUACCUGGUAAGGCUGGCCCAGCAUGGUGUGAUAUUAGGUAGUGUGGGAUUUCUGUUGGAGAGAAUAAGGUUUAAAUCCCGAUUCACUAUUUGACUUGGUGAACUCUGCCACUCACUCUUUUUCAACCUCACCUGUUUUAUAAGAUCGUUGUGAGAAUUUUUAAAAAAUGGGAGGGCCUUAGUUUUCUCACACCCUCAUGUAGGCCUGCCUUAGGCGUGAAAGCCGGCUGGGUGACUUUGGGCCAGUCACACUCUCUCAGACCAACACACACACACACACUCUCAUAAUAGUGCCAUGAGACCAUUGAAAUAUUUUUAAUCAUUUAAUGAUUUAAUUAAGUUAAUUAUUGAAUGGUUUAUGGUUUAAUGAUGUUUUGAUGUUUUAUUUGUCUCCUUCCCCAAAGUGGCCCAGACUUGCUGUCCCACUAUUUGGGCAGUGUCCAUGUUCAUCGUACACACCAUCAGCUUUGGUGUGACCCACAGUGUGAUUUGUGUUCCAAUGUCACUGAAACUAAGCAAAGUUGAAAAAUAGGGGGGAUAGGAGACCACUUGAAAAUAACUCCCACCUACAGGGUUUUCAUCCUCUAUGGAAGAAAGAGGAGAUGUAGGUUAAAAGGGUGACCAAAUACUUGGCUGAUAUAAUACUUUGCAAUCUGAAUAGAAAACAUUGAAAAAGGGAUAGAAUUGCUGAAACCCAAGCUGUGCUGACAGCUGCUAGAAUUUUGCUUAUUACUAUGAUUGCAGAGUAUGCUGGGAAAUGUAGUUUUUGUGGCAGGAAAUGGGCUUGGUUCCUUUCAGCUGUGUCAUUGCAUGAGAUGACUUUGGAAGUUGUCCUUUCUUUUCUUCCCUCCCUCACCACCCACCCACCCAGAAACUUUUCCACACUAACAGUUUCAUUUCCAUUUUGGUUGGCCUAUUAAGCCUGUGUAAAUUAAAACUUGGCUUGUACCUUUAUCUGUUUGCAAAUGGCAGGAGGUUUUGUAAACGAUGCAACUGAACACAGGCAAGAAUCUCAUUAUGAUCUUACCUUUUUGGAGUAGAAAACGCUUUCUUUUCUGAUGCAGUUCUGUCUGGUUAAUGAGUCCAAAAGAUUCCCCUCCUCUCCCCAGGUUGGUGAAAGGCCUCUGCCUAGGCUCUGGAAUGUAAUGUUCCCUACUGAGAUUAGAUUACUAUUUUUCUUGUUUCUGAGGCUGCCUUUAGAGACAAUCUGGAACACUCGGCUAAUACAAAACAUCUAUAUUGUGGCUGUUUAGUUUGUAGCUCAGCUAAAGUGCUAGUUUUGGCUUACAAAAUUUUAGACCGCCUUCAGACCCCAUCAGUUUAAAAGGAUGUCCCUGGAUCAGUCUGCCUGCAACGUAAGUGCAGGGGACAGAGGCCCUUCCCGUUCAUUCGGCAGUCCAAAGGGUCAGGUUGAAAAACCAGUUUUCUGAUAACCACCCAGAGUCAUUGUUGGGAUGGAUGGUAGAAAAAUGGGAUGGAUGGAUGGAUAGAUGGAUGAUGUAUAGAUAGAUGGAUAAACUGUCUCACUUCCCCUGUGUGAACUUCCAGCUGGGGUUUGGCAGGUCCCUCUUACUGCCUGCUUUUAAUGGAGUGUUUGCUUAUUUGUUUAUUGGUUGUGAUGUUUUUCUAGGUCAAACGUUUGCAUUAAUGCUUUGUUGUUUGCAUUAUCUGGAAACCCACAGGUUUUUCUGGCUCCCAGGUGGCCUGACCAACUUUUGAAUGUGCCAAGAAUUGUGUACCAAGCUGCUGUAGAAAUGGGUGGGCAAAGAGAAGGAGGGAAUGCCAUCGAUAACUCCCCCUCCAUUAGCAAAUGAUGCUUUUUGCCUUUCUUGGCCUCCACUGUAAAACCUUCACUGUAAAAUCCAAAAGAUGGUGCUGUGCGGGUAGGCACAUUUUAAUUACAGGCAUCACUCUCUCUUUUGGCAGCAUCUAUUUUUGUUCCUGAACGCAUUCAGCCUUGCCUGUCCAUCCUGCCUUCCCCCAUCUCCUUCCUAGACUUUCAUCAGCUGUGUUCCUGAGGCCUCGGCCCAUCUUCCUCUCUGGCUGAGCCCCAGCUUCUGUUCCUCCGGCUACGGGAACCUUGUCCUCAGCGCAUAACAGCUGGAGAAAAAUGGGGUUUACUUAGGAUGUUUAUUGGUCUGAAAGUGCUGUAGAGUUUAAACACUUUGUCGCCGAUUGCCUCUGCUGUGUUGCCUGUCAGCUAAAUAAUGUUUAAAGUUAAUAUUCUAAUACUCAGCAAAACAACAGCAGAGCAAAAACAUCCUAUGCAAUAAAAGCAAUAGCAUGAA